AUGGCUAAAUUCUGGUGGGGGAGUUCGGUUGAUAGGCGUUCCUUACACUGGAUUGCCUGGGACAAGCUUGCUACACCAAAGAUUAAAGGAGGUAUGGGGUUUCAUGAUCUCCGACAGUUCAACCUAGCGCUCCUUGGGAAGCAUGGCUGGAGAUUCAUGAUGAAACCAGAUGCUCUUUGCACUAGAGUGAUGAAAGGAAGAUACUUUCCAAACUGUGAUUUUAUGCACGCAACAACACCCAAAUCUUCAUCUGCUAUAUGGAGGGCUAUUGUUGCUGGUUGUGAAGCUCUGAAUGUUGGCAUGAUAAAACGCAUCGGUGACGGCGUUCCACCUCCGUUUGGGAGGACCGAUGGAUCCCGUCGAGUACCACCAUGA
rnacentral:rRNA from 1 species